rnacentral:rRNA from 1 species
AGUGGCACACUGGCGAAGACCUAGUGGCGAACGGGUGAGUAACACGUGAGGAACCUGCCCCGAAGACCGGGAUAAGCCCCCGAAAGAGGGUCUAAUACCGGAUGUCCUCUACUGAUCGCAUGUUCGGUUGAGGAAAGGAUUCUGCUUCGGGAGGGCCUCGCGGCCUAUCAGCUUGUUGGUGAGGUAACGGCUCACCAAGGCGACGACGGGUAGCUGGUCUGAGAGGACGAUCAGCCACACUGGGACUGAGACACGGCCCAGACUCCUACGGGAGGCAGCAGUGGGGAAUCUUGCGCAAUGGGCGAAAGCCUGACGCAGCAACGCCGCGUGCGGGAUGAAGGCCUUCGGGUUGUAAACCGCUUUCAGUGGGGACGAAAACAGACGGUACCCACAGAAGAAGCCCCGGCCAACUACGUGCCAGCAGCCGCGGUAACACGUAGGGGGCGAGCGUUGUCCGGAAUCAUUGGGCGUAAAGAGCUCGUAGGCGGCUCAGUAAGUCGGGUGUGAAACCCUCAGGCUCAACCUGGGGACGCCACCCGAUACUGCUGUGGCUAGAGUCCAGUAGGGGAGUGUGGAAUUCCCGGUGUAGCGGUGAAAUGCGCAGAUAUCGGGAGGAACACCAGCGGCGAAGGCGGCACUCUGGGCUGGAACUGACGCUGAGGAGCGA